GGAGAAGCAAAAUGAUGAGCAAUACUGCUGGAGCCCCAGAGAGGCACAAGUGUGUGUGUGCGAGUGCCUGUAUGUGUGUCUGUAUCCUUGUUUGUGCAUGCACACGUGAGUCUGUGAGGAUGAGUGUGUGUGACUGGUGGUAGGGACCUAGCCAUGUGCCAUCUUCUAGGCUGUGACAGUCAAACUGAUAAGAUCUGAUUGCUUC
ensembl:snoRNA